GCUGGAGGUGAAUCAGGACAUGCAGAGAGGGAGGCAGAGGCUGUGUGGAUUUGGGGCAGAGCCAAGGACUGAAUUCCAGCACGGAGUCCCACACGGUCCUGCGUCUCUCCUGUCCUCCACCCCUUGUCAGCUGGUUUAUUUCCCAGGAAACGUGGAUCUCUGCAUGGUGACUAAUCUUCCAACUCUCUGCCUCCUCCCGUUAGCCCAGGGUGAGUUUUCCUCUUGCUGCUGACCUUGUCAGCACCAGCUGUACCCGCGGAGGGAGCGCAUGGCACUCCGCCAAGGUGACAACGCACUCCCUCCAUGCACACGUGCCUGCACCCACAGGGGAGAAUUCUGAGCACUAAUUCCAUCUUGGAGAGCCCCAGGCCUGUGUUUUUCUCUCUUUCUGACAGCCAGGACUUGGACUAAACCCACAAUGAGGAGAGAUGUGACCUUUCGGGAGCAGCUUGGGGUGCCUGUGGCAGGCAUGAUUUUGAAGUGGAUCCAUUUGUUUUCCCGGUGCUAGUGAGGAGCUCUGUAAACUCCAGCUCUUCCCCCCUGUUCUCCACGUGCAGAUGGACUUGGAUUAAACCAUUGUGCUCUGUUGGCUCCAGACAGGCACCUGCUGCUCACUUGUGUGUCUCUCUGCUCAGGCAGGAUAACAAACGAGGACGAUCCUUGGAGCUGUUUUGGAGCAGAGCUGGCAGGCAGGCAGGAUAGACGGGGGCCUGUUUGCCAACGGAACGCUGCUGACAAAUCCCUGUGAAGAAAAACGGGGGCUUGGGACCCCCCCUGCCUGUCUGUGGGCAUCCUUCCCAUCGGCUUUUUUGUUUCCACACGGUGCCUGAACGUUUUGGGCCGGUUUCCCACGGCUUGAAGCGCCGUACCUGUUCCCACCAGUUGCCAACCUCCAUUCAUCACAGGCAGCGUUUUGUUCUCCUCUUCUGGAAACUUGAAACGUUCAGAAAGGAAAUCAAGUUUUCCCUUGGAAAUCCAGGUGGGAGAGGGGUGGAAGGCAGGUAGCCUCCUGUUUAUUUUGCACUGCCUUUCUGUAAGCUGCUCUAAACAACCUGUCAGCGUUCCUCCGGUGAGGCUGCUGAACAGGCUCCCCCGGUGCUGGGCUUGGUUCCUUGCCAUGCAAGGUCUCGUUAGAGGUGCUGUUUGCUGCUGCUUAGCCAUGGACUCCCUUGGAGCUUGAAGAGCAAGACAGGGAAACAGCAACGAUUAUGAUGAGGGUUUUAUUUGGAACUCCUGAACGCUGCGUUUCCCGCGGUGAACAACAUCCUCAAGCGGCUGGAGGCUGGGCCCCACCAGUGCUUCACGGUGAAUUUUUUCUGAGAUGAACAAGGAAAGCAAUCAGCCCCUCUGGAAUGCCGAGGGAUGUGGGUGGUGCUGCCUGCUGUGCCUUUGAGACCUCUCCCGUUGUCACUUCAGGAGCUGAGGCCAAGGCGAGGGCUGUGCCCCUGCUGGUGCCAGGUUGAAGCUGUGUCUGAGUGGCUCCAGACCUUCCCUGGAAGAACCUGGGCUUGCUCCUGGAGAAGAAUUGUUGUUGCUGUCUUGGCUGAGCCACUGCAUCCCAGUUUUGAGCUUCAGCCUUUCUCCUUCUGCAUCCUGGCUCCUGAGCACCAAGCGUUUGAUGGAGCAGUGAUCAAAAUAUGUUGCAUUGCACUGCAAGCUUCUCCAGGCAGAUGUUUCAUCACCGGAGGAGAGAUGACUUCCUCAUUUACAUUUGGGGAAAAUUAAAGGAGAGGAAGAAAGAAGAAGGCGAAGGGGAAUGUUGGAUUUCCUGUCGUGUGAAUACAUCUUGCAAGGCUUCGGGAGAGUGACGUGUGAGAGAAGAAGCAGGGCCAGGAGGAAGAGGGAGGCCAGACUUUCUUUUUUUUUACCCUGCUGACAUUCAGAUCUUGAGCCGUGCACCCCUUGGUGUUUAUUUUGCUGCAAACCCCAGGGAUGCUGGCUGGGGCUCAUCCUGCUGCUUCCUCGGAGAAGGGUUUUGAGCCCAAGGCCGUCUGUUAUCCCCACAUUUGGACUUUUUGGGAUGCACAGAGCUCCUCAGCUGCUGCCUUCCCUCUUCAGCUCUUACAAAGGAGCUUUCAGAGCUGCUGGGGGGUACAAGGUGACACCAAAUCCACCUUCUGUCCUUACCUGGAACACUUUGGUGUGCAGGGCUUUGUGUUGGUGGUCAGAACAGAUCAAUUCCCCAAAUAUCACCAGUGAGGGAAGGUGAAGCAGAGGAAAAGAUGGGAAAAUGCCCAUUUUUGGGGGGAUUCCGGCACCAAACACCACCAGCUCUGGGGCAGAGACUUGGACCUGUCUGGAGAGAGGCUGAGGGAGCAGGGAAAGCCUCCCCCACACUGGGAACACAAUUCCUCACACUCAGCUCAAUGAGAGAGCCAUCAAAAGUAAAAAUGACAGCAAUUCUGCAGUCAAUAUAAUGUGGCUGCGGGUUAAAUAAAUAAUGUUUGAAUGAUAA